AAGCUUGUCAACUUCCCGAUUGCCACAAUUUCAUAUUUCGACAGUCUCACAGAUCCUUUAGAUCUCCGGAGGGAUAUUGAUUUCCUGCAAGAUCCUGUUAGUUAUGUUGAAAUCUUCAAUUUUCUGCACUGAAUAGGCUAGGGCUAUGGGUUGUAUUCAACUUUCAUAGACAAUGUAAUGAGGUUUUUGUUUGUUUGUUUGUUUUUUAAAAAUGCUGCUUGUAAGUUAUGGUUCAUAGGAACAAUUCAAAAGAGCAGUCAAUGGGGGAUUGUGUAGGAGAAUUCCCCUGCAGAGUGAUCCAUAUUUGUCUAGAAACAAAUUUGCUCCAAGCUGAAACUUUACAUUGUAUAGCACAGUGGGUUUCUGUAAAUAUCAAAUGAAGGAAUAAAUGACCAGAAGCUCUAACCCUGGGUUGGAUUUCUGCCUAGAUAGUUAAAUGUGUAAAGAUUCUUUGAUCCAGUUUGCGAUAUGAGUGUUUAUGGGUGUGUAUGGGUAUGUAUCUUUUCAAAAUCUCUCUCUCUCUCUCUCUCUCUCUCUCUCUCUCUCUCUCAUUCACACACACACACACACACACACAACACACGAUGUAAUGCUUGUAUUCAUUCUCACAUGAAUAAGAUAUUUCUGUGAUUUUAUACAAUAAUCCCCACUUCAUAAAGUUUUUGUUUUUUAAAAGGUUUUUUUUUUAAAAAAGAUGCUUAGUUUUAUUUAUAUCACUUAAUUGAAUUUGAAUACCACUUAAUUGUAAAUAAAAGACUCCAGUUUUAUUGGUAUAAUGAUCUACUCAGUUUUACCACUCUUUUAAUCACAAAGGAACGUUAACUGGUUGAUAAGGCAUAACUAAUCAGACAACUUUGAGCCUUCAUCCUAUAUUUUAUCUUUCUUUCCUGAAUGCAUGUUUUUUCUACUUGUCUGCUCACAUGUUUAAUUGUAGACUAUGUGAGAUUAUGGAUGCAAUCCAGGAUCCACUUAACCCGGAGAAGGUCAUGCUGGGAUAGUUUUACUGGUUUCAGUAGAAUAACCGCAGCGUCGAUGAACUCUGAUUUGCAGUCAUGCUUGACUUUCCAUACACAUACCAUAUCCACAGGCCUACACAUUGCACAUUGCUGCUUCAGUCCUACCAGUCUUAUAGUGAUUCCAAUAGAUAGCUUGCUUUCAUGCCAGCAUGGUUAGGGCUAGGAUAUUGUGUACAAUGGCAGCCCUCAAAACAUUUUGCAAAGUUAUGCCAUAGGAAAUGAUUUCAACCACAACGCUGAUGGACAGUUCCUGUUUGCACCAUCCCCCACCAACUGGUCCUGAAUAUACUUUUCUCAGCGCUUUACACCAUGGGUAGGCAAACUAAGGCCCGGGGCUGGAUCCAGCCCAAUCGCCUUCUCAAUCCGGCCUGCGGAUGGUCUGGGAAUCAGCGUGUUUUUACAUGAAUAAAAUGUGUCCUUUUAUUUAAAAUGCAUCUCUGGGUUAUUUGUGGGGCAUAAGAAUUCAUUCAUUCCCCCCUCCAAAAAAUAUAUAUAUAGUCUGGCCCCCCACAAGGUCUGAGGUAUAGUGGACCGGCCCCUUGCUGAAAAGGUUUGCUGACCCCUGCUUUACACCAAACUGACUCUUGCCUUCUUUUACAUUCUCUUUUCCCUAGCAAAGAGACUUGAACUCUUUCCUCUGGACUAUCCGGAGGGACCCUCCUGCCUAUCUCUUUGGAACAAUCCAUGUGCCUUACACACGCGUGUGGGACUUUGUCCCUGAGAACUCCAAGUCUGCUUUCCAAGCCAGUUCCAGUGUGUACUUUGAGCUGGACCUCACUGACCCCUACACCAUUUCGGGCCUGGCCAGCUGUCAGCUGCUACCCCACGGGGAGAACUUGCAAGACGUGCUCCCCCGGGAUCUUUACCACCGCCUCAAGCGCCACCUUGAGUACGUCAAAUUGAUGCUCCCUCACUGGAUGACGCCAGACCAACGGGGGAAAGGUCUUUAUGCCGAUUACCUCUUCAAUGCUAUUGCUGGGAACUGGGAGCGCAAAAGGCCCGUCUGGGUGAUGCUGAUGGUCAACUCCCUCACGGAGACAGAUAUCCGUUCCCGGGGAGUGCCCGUAUUGGACCUCUACCUGGCUCAGGAGGCGGAGAGGAUGAAGAAAAGGACAGGAGCUGUGGAGAGGGUGGAAGAGCAAUGCCAUCCACUGAAUGGGCUGAACUUCUCCCAGG